GAGUUAAGGGGUCUUUAGGCACUAAAAGAAGGCGCUGGAACUGCUGUCUCAUUUACUCGCCGAUUUAGUUUAAAAAGAGAAUCAUUCUGAGGCUGUAUCACAUGAUACUAGUAGUUCUUCUGCUAUGCUCAAUACUUCAGGUAGUUAUAAUGUGUUUAAAUUAGUGAUUAUAUAUAAAUAAGGUAUGGGUGAUGGGGACAAAGAGCAGCCAUUUUGUGCAUAGAUAUAGGAUCGGCUGUUGGGAAACAUACAUUAGUGUUAGUGUGGCAUGGUUGACUGAAGGAUGAUCAGUUACAGACAGAUCGUCAUGUGAUUUGUGCUGAAUUUCGAUUCAAUCCCAGUUGUGAGUCCUGUAAUCGUAACUCAAGUUUAUUAGUUACUAGAUACAGAAGCUCGUACUAGCAUUUUUCUUGUACUGGUAUAUUACCA